ensembl:lncRNA
AUGAGAAGGAUGAAGACCCAAACCGCUGUCCAUCUGAUGUGGCCACUGAUUUUAGUGCUACAGUUUGCUUGGCUUACAAAAGGCCUGAAUCACUUUAUAGUUCCUCAGAAUUUGACCUCGGAGACCGGAAAAACUGUCACCUUUGAAUGUGGUGUUGGUGGAUUGAAUGGGGAAAAAAUCCGGUUUUACAUUAUGGGUCCAAAGGUCAAUGAUUCCGUGUCUUGUCCAGGAGAAAAAACCAAGUACUUGCCUGCUCAGUCAAUGAAAGCCUACUGUUAUACAAAAUCUGGUGGAGAUGUAGCUGCUUGGGAAGUCGCAGGAACAUCAGAAGAUGACAAUGGCACUAUUUUUUUGUGCAAAGUCAAUACUGCAGAUGACAAAAUCGGAUACCUUUAUGUGUACGAGAAUGAUUCAUACUAUGCCAAGCUCAUUGGAUAUGUGAUUGGAGGAUUUUUAGCUGGUCUCAUUAUCAUCGUUGCGGCUUAUGUCCUGUUGAAAAGAUCAGAGAAAGUACAGCACUGCUUCAGGUCAGUGGGUGGAAUCCAAGAUGACGUGCAAUAGCCACAAUCUAAGCAAUACUGAAACCCCUCUCAUGCUCCUUACCAACAAAUGUGGAUUUGGAGGGCUAAUAAUAACAUAGCACAAACAUCGCAAUAUAAUAUAGGUUCUGCAGAUUUGAAAGAAAGGCCUGUGUUUCUCAGUUUUCAGUCUUGUCCAGUAGAGGGCGUGUUCACUUCUUUGUUCACAGCCAUGUUUUAGUUUCUCAUGUUCCUGGUUCAAAAUCCUUUUUUUUUUUUUUUGGUCACAGAGGAACAUUUUAAGUAACUAUAAUAUCUAAAUUUUAAUUUCGAACCCUAAUUUACACUAAAAUGUGAGGGAUUUUGAUACAGGAGUAUGUUCUAUUAGUUAAUCCACUUUAAGCAUCAAGCAACACCACCUUUCAAGAAUGUUUAUCUUACAAAUACACACAUUUGAUUAUCUAAUUGUGGAUCUGCUGUUUAAUGAAUAGUCAAGUACUCAGAAUGAAUGUGUCAUUGUCAUGCUGUUUACCAUAUUCAUUUAUUUUAGUUGUUUUUUAUUUUCAAUGUAAUGUAAAUUACUCACUGCUUUGAUUUCAUUUCAUUUUAUACUGCUUUAAGAGGCUAAAUGACAAAAUUCACAGCACACAUAUGAGGCUUUUGGGUUGCGUUGAGUAGAUCAAUAGGAGAUGGGUCAAUAUUGACACAGGUGGUUCUGUGCACCCUGGAACAGCCGUGUUUCUAUUCUACUACACUUUUCAUUGUAGAUAUCAGUCCGUAAGCAUUUAGUUUUAAAGUUUUAAAGGCUCAGAAACUGCGUAUUUAAUCCUGUUUUGAACCUUUGACUAUUUGCAUAUGUGCUCUGGCAUUUGUAAACACUCAUGAAGUCACAUUACAACAUACAAGCACAACAAUCAUCUGCUUUAGCUCACAGUCACAUUUAAUAUUAAUGUUGUAUGAUAUUUUCAGAAUGUGCUUGUAUCAAUUCAAAAUGUAAACAUUAUUGUAAACAUCUGAAAUGUAGACGAGAGCCUUUCAAAUCAGAUUAGACAGUCAAAUCUAAAACAUUUAUAUUGUUAUUUUUGGUUACAUUUUGACUUUAUUUUAAUGCUUUCCGUUCUCUUGAAAGACUCCAAUGCUGUUUGUGUAAAAAUAAUUGAAUUACCCUAUUAUUUUCUUUUCAAAUUCUUGUAAUAUGUUCCACUGACCUUAUCAAAACCCAGUAGACAGAUAUUAUUGAGGCUUCUACUCUCUGUUUUAUCAGCAUGUACUUUUCAUAAAGGUGAUUAUCUUGUAUACAGACUUUUGUUUGGGGUCAGUUUGACCAAUGUAUAAAUACAUUUUAGAAUAAUAUAAUAAAACGCAUAAGAAUCAGGACA